GCUUGAGAAGCUCGAUUGGUUGAGCGGGGCUCUGAAGCAGCCUAGGUUGUAGGUUCGACUCCUACCUUGAGCA
rnacentral:tRNA from 1 species